AUGAAUUGCCUAAGUUGGAACUGCCGGGGAGGGGGGAACUCUCGGACAGUUCAAGAAUUAGCGACGGUAUGUCAGUCGCGUUCCCCCAUGUUUGUGUUCUUAUGUGAGACUCGGCAAAAGGAAGCUAAGAUGAGGAGGAUACGUAAUCGCUUGGGAUUAAAAGGAUUCUGUGGUGUUGACAGCGAUGGAUUGAGUGGAGGGCUGGCUGUUUAUUGGCAUGAG
rnacentral:rRNA from 1 species